GGAGUCUUCUGAUCAGGCCACGAGGUGUACCAGUACUGCUGCAGACUUCGCUCCUCAUCCCCGCACUGGUGCACACGGACACAUCAACACACAAACAGAUAUCCACAUCUGAGAUUUCUACUGACGCUCCAUCACAGUUGAGUGAACACCCUCAGACUGUAGUCAUCCUCCUGGGUUACUGUGACAACGGUGAUCUCGAUGCCCUCGUGGGUCACAGUGUCCUCAGG